rnacentral:rRNA from 1 species
GAUGAACGUUGGCGGCGUGCCUAAUACAUGCAAGUCGAGCGAACAGACGAGGAGCUUACUCCUCUGACGUUAGCGGCGGACGGGUGAGUAACACGUGGAUAACCUACCUAUAAGACUGGGAUAACUUCGGGAAACCGGAGCUAAUACCGGAUAACAUGUUGAACCGCAUGGUUCAACAGUGAAAGACGGUCUUGCUGUCACUUAUAGAUGGAUCCGCGUCGCAUUAGCUAGUUGGUAAGGUAACGGCUUACCAAGGCAACGAUGCGUAGCCGACCUGAGAGGGUGAUCGGCCACACUGGAACUGAGACACGGUCCAGACUCCUACGGGAGGCAGCAGUAGGGAAUCUUCCGCAAUGGGCGAAAGCCUGACGGAGCAACGCCGCGUGAGUGAAGAAGGUCUUCGGAUCGUAAAACUCUGUUAUUAGGGAAGAACAAAUGUGUAAGUAACUAUGCACGUCUUGACGGUACCUAAUCAGAAAGCCACGGCUAACUACGUG